UGCCCCAUGGCUGAGUUGGUUACAGCGUCCGACUGUUACAAUGCGACUUGAGGUCGGAUCAAGUGAUAUCGGAAGGUCGUGAGUUCGAGCCUCACUGGGGCAG